rnacentral:rRNA from 1 species
CCUACGGGGGGCAGCAGUGAGGAAUAUUGGUCAAUGGCCGCAGGGCUGAACCAGCCAAGUCGCGUGAGGGAUGACGGUCCUAUGGAUUGUAAACCUCUUUUGUCAGGGAGCAAAGGGCGCCACGUGUGGCGCUUUGCGAGUACCUGAAGAAAAAGCAUCGGCUAACUCCGUGCCAGCAGCCGCGGUAAUACGGAGGAUGCGAGGGUUAUCCGGUUUUAUUGGGUUUAAAGGGGGCGCAGGCGGAAUGUCAAGUCAGCGGUAAAAUUUCGGGGCUCAACCCCGUCGUGCCGUUGAAACUGGCGUUCUUGAGUGAGCGAGAAGUAUGCGGAAUGCGUGGUGUAGCGGUGAAAUGCAUAGAUAUCACGCAGAACUCCGAUUGCGAAGGCAGCAUACCGGCGCUCAACUGACGCUGAUGCACGAAAGCGUGGGUAUCGAACAGGAUUAGAUACCCCUGUAGUC